GACAGAGGUGGCGAGCGUUGUUCGGAUUGAUUGGGUGUAAAGGGUCCGCAGGCGGCUUGGUAAGUCGGGGGUGAAAUCCUAUGGCCCAACCAUAGAACUGCCUUCGAUACUGCCGAGCUCGAGUGUGGGAGAGGUAGAUGGAAUUCCCGGUGUAGGGGUGAAAUCCGUAGAUAUCGGGAGGAACACCAGUUGCGAAGGCGAUCUACUGGCCCAACACUGACGCUGAGGGACGAAAGCCAGGGGAGCGAACGGG
rnacentral:rRNA from 1 species